rnacentral:rRNA from 1 species
UACGGAGGAUGCAAGCGUUAUCCGGAUUCAUUGGGUGUAAAGGGUGCGCAGGCGGAUUGGUAAGUCAGGGGUGAAAUCCCACAGCUCAACUGUGGAACUGCCUUUGAUACUGUCAGACUAGAGUAUAGUUGAAGUUGGCGGAAUGUGUCAUGUAGCGGUGAAAUGCUUAGAUAUGACACAGAACACCGAUCGCGAAGGCAGCUAGCUAAGCUAUAACUGACGCUCAUGCACGAAAGCGUGGGGAUCAAACAGG